GGCGUGGUAGCCAAGUGGGAAGGCAGGGGUCUGCAAAACCCCUAUUCGCGGGUUCGAUUCCCGCUCACGCCUCCA
rnacentral:tRNA from 1 species